UACAGAGGGUGCGAGCGUUGUCCGGAAUCACUGGGCGUAAAGGGCGCGUAGGCGGCCUGAUAAGUAGGGGGUGAAAUCCUGUGGCUCAACUGCAGGGCUGCCUCCUAGACUGUCGGGCUUGAGCACGGUAGAGGCAGAUGGAAUUCCCGGUGUAGCGGUGGAAUGCGUAGAGAUCGGGAAGAACAUCGGUGGCGAAGGCGGUCUGCUAGGCCGCAACUGACACUCAUGGACGAAAGCUAGGGGAGCGAAUGGG
rnacentral:rRNA from 1 species